UGACAGCCCCGUACACAAAAGCGCAUGUGCUGUGAGCUCGAUGAGUAGGGCGGGACACGUGGUAUCCUGUCUGAAUAUGGGGGGACCAUCCUCCAAGGCUAAAUACUCCUGACUGACCGAUAGUGAACCAGUACCGUGAGGGAAAGGCGAAAAGAACCCCGGCGAGGGGAGUGAAAAAGAACCUGAAACCGUGUACGUACAAGCAGUGGGAGCACCCUUUGGGGUGUGACUGCGUACCUUUUGUAUAAUGGGUCAGCGACUUAUAUUCUGUAGCAAGGUUAACCGUAUAGGGGAGCCGCAGGGAAACCGAGUCUUAACCGGGCGUUAAGUUGCAGGGUAUAGACCCGAAACCCGGUGAUCUAGCCAUGGGCAGGUUGAAGGUUGGGUAACACUAACUGGAGGACCGAACCGACUAAUGUUGAAAAAUUAGCGGAUGACCUGUGGCUGGGGGUGAAAGGCCAAUCAAACCGGGAGAUAGCUGGUUCUCCCCGAAAGCUAUUUAGGUAGCGCCUCGUGAAUUCAUCUCCGGGGGUAGAGCACUGUUUCGGCUAGGGGGCCAUCCCGGCUUACCAACCCGAUGCAAACUGCGAAUACCGGAGAAUGUUAUCACGGGAGACACACGGCGGGUGCUAACGUCCGUCGUGAAGAGGGAAACAACCCAGACCGCCAGCUAAGGUCCCAAAGUCAUGGUUAAGUGGGAAACGAUGUGGGAAGGCCCAGACAGCCAGGAUGUUGGCUUAGAAGCAGCCAUCAUUUAAAGAAAGCGUAAUAGCUCACUGGUCGAGUCGGCCUGCGCGGAAGAUGUAACGGGGCUAAACCAUGCACCGAAGCUGCGGCAGCGAACGUAUCACCCAAGACAACUUUACGGAGUUAACGAUUGACGGAGCGAAGCGACGUCAAAGCGUUCAUUAAAGUCGAGUUGGCUUAGGGAUACGUU
rnacentral:rRNA from 1 species